AUUGAACGCUGGCGGCAGGCCUAACACAUGCAAGUCGAACGGCUGAAGAGUGCGUGCUUCCGGUUUCGGCGGCGGACGGGCGGGUGAGGCAUGGGAAUAUCCGUAGUUGUGUUGUCUAACGUGCGGAAGCGGGCGCUAUUACCGCAAUAGCCCUUAGGGAGUACGGGGGGGAUCAUCGGACCUUAGGACCUCGCGUGAUUCGAGGUCGGAUUAGCUAGUUGGCGGGGUAAAGGCCUACCAAGGCGACGAUCCGUAGCUGGUCUGAGAGGAUGAUCAGCCACACUGGAACUGAGACACGGUCCAGACUCCUACGGGAGGCAGCAGUGGGGAAUAUUGGACAAUGGGCGCAAGCCUGAUCCAGCCAUGCCGCGUGGGUGAAGAAGGCCUUCGGGUUGUAAAGCCCUUUUGUUGGGAAAGAAAAGCAGCAGGUUAAUACCCCGCUGUUCUGACGGUACCAAAAGAAUAAGCACCGGCUAACUUCGUG
rnacentral:rRNA from 1 species